rfam:Chroococcidiopsis thermalis PCC 7203, complete genome.
GGGGCUUUCAAGGUUUCGACAGGUUGGCGAAAGCUGCUCUGUGAUACAGGUCGAGAGUGAGUCUCCUCUCGUAAAUCAAAGGCUCAAAAAAACGUAACUGCGAACAACAUCGUUCCUUUUGCUCGUAAGGCUGCUCCUGUAGCUGCCUAAUAAUCUCUCAAAGAUUCGAGCGCUUGUAGUUUGACUCCGUUAAGGACUACAGGCAAACCCCAACGGAUGCUCUAGCAAGGUUUCUUCGAUUUACUUGCUAGUUAAGACUUAAUCGAAGCAUCCUACGUGCGGGAUAAUGCACGAUCCCCGCCUUGAGGGUCAAAAAGGCUAAGCCUGUGAACGAGUGGGGGGUUAAUACCCAAUUUGGACACGGGUUCGAUUCCCGUAAGCUCCACUU